UACGCUUAUCAGGAGGGCAUAUCAUG
rnacentral:piRNA from 1 species